rnacentral:rRNA from 1 species
UUUAACUGAAGAGUUUGAUCAUGGCUCAGAUUGAACGCUGGCGGCAGGCUUAACACAUGCAAGUCGAGCGGGGGAAGGUAGCUUGCUACUGGACCUAGCGGCGGACGGGUGAGUAAUGCUUAGGAAUCUGCCUAUUAGUGGGGGA